rnacentral:rRNA from 1 species
CCUACGGGGGGCAGCAGUGGGGAAUAUUGCACAAUGGGCGCAAGCCUGAUGCAGCCAUGCCGCGUGUGUGAAGAAGGCCUUCGGGUUGUAAAGCACUUUCAGCGGGGAGGAAGGCGUUAAGGUUAAUAACCUUGGCGAUUGACGUUACCCGCAGAAGAAGCACCGGCUAACUCCGUGCCAGCAGCCGCGGUAAUACGGAGGGUGCAAGCGUUAAUCGGAAUUACUGGGCGUAAAGCGCACGCAGGCGGUCUGUCAAGUCGGAUGUGAAAUCCCCGGGCCCAACCUGGGAACUGCAUUCGAAACUGGCAGGCUAGAGUCUUGUAGAGGGGGGUAGAAUUCCAGGUGUAGCGGUGAAAUGCGUAGAGAUCUGGAGGAAUACCGGUGGCGAAGGCGGCCCCCUGGACAAAGACUGACGCUCAGGUGCGAAAGCGUGGGGAGCAAACAGGAUUAGAUACCCCUGUAGUC